GACGAACGCUGGCGGCGUGCUUAACACAUGCAAGUCGAACGGAAAGGCCCUGCUCUUGUGGGGUGCUCGAGUGGCGAACGGGUGAGUAACAUGUGAGUAACCUGCCCUUGACUUUGGGAUAACUUCAGGAAACUGGGGCUAAUACCGGAUAGGAGCUCCUGCUGCAUGGUGGGGGUUGGAAAGUUUCGGCGGUUGGGGAUGGACUCGCGGCUUAUCAGCUUGUUGGUGGGGUAGUGGCUUACCAAGGCUUUGACGGGUAGCCGGCCUGAGAGGGUGACCGGCGACAUGGGGACUGAGAUACGGCCCAGACUGCUACGGGAGGCAGCGGUGGGGAAUAUUGCACAGUGGGCGGGAGCGUGAUGCAGCAGCGCCGCGUGCGUGAUGACGGCCUUCGGGUUGUAAACCGCUUUCGCCUGAGACGAAGCGUGAGUGACGGUAAUGGAUGAAGAAGCACCGGCUAACUACGUG
rnacentral:rRNA from 1 species